UUGUCACACAGAUAAAAUUACUGCUCAAGAAGACUGAGAAGCAGAACAACAAGCUGCAGCAAUGGAACCUGAAGCUGCAAGAAGCAUCAGACACAACCAUGUCACAACUGCAAAAUGGGGCUGUACCUAAAGGAACAGGAAAAGGUGCGGCAGUCUCUGGAUGGCCCCACCUGGGGAUUGUGAGCUUAGGAGAAGCACAAAGUGGAGGCUUGCCUGAGGAGACCAUGGAAAACCCAAAAGUUAAAGGCUCAUCCUGAUUAACUACCAAUUUAAAACCAAUGCAGAAGCAAAAGCAUAGCCAUUUCCUGAUUUAGAACCAGAAGAAGAAGAAGAAGAAGAAGAAGAAGAAGAAGAAGAAGAAGAAGAAGAAGAAGAAGAAGAAGAAGAAGAAGAAGAAGAAGAAGACAACGACGAGGAGGAGGAGGAGGAGGAGGAAGAGGAAGAGGGCAGUGAGUUGUCCAGCUUGUCUUUAGGAAUGAUAGGUGCUUUCUAGGACAUUUCAUUUGAUUCCAGUGGGAACACACUGAAGGCUACAGAAGGAUGGGCUUCACGGAGAUCCAGCAUAAGGGUAUCAAGCCAUUUCUGGAAGGCAGGGAUCUUUGGGCAGCAGCAAAACCCUUGCUUUCCCCAUCCCGGUGAUUGAGCUCAUUGUGAAGCUGAAGUUCAUGCCCAGGAAUGGAACAGGAGUGCUCAUUCUCUCUCCUGCCAGAGAAUUGGCCAUGCAGAACCCUGGUGUUCUUAAGGAACUGAAGAUGCACAAAUAGGGGGCAGUAACAUAUCUGCAAAAGCUCAGGAGCUUGUCCAUGGGAUGCACAUCAUCACGGCCACUCCAGGCUGCCUCCGGACCACGUGCAGAACAUGCCAGAGUUUAUGUACAAGAAACAACAGUGUCUGCUUAUUGAUAAAGCAGAUUGUGUCUUGGAGGUUGGGCUUGAUGAAGAACUAAAACAAAUUAUUAAAAUUUGCCAGCACACGGGCAAGCCAAGCCAAGCCAGGCUCUUUUCUGUCUCACAAACUAAAAAAAGGCUUGGCAAGAAUUUUUCUGGAAAAAAAAAAGGCAUUGCAUGUGGGAGUUGACAAUGAUAACAAGUUUGCCACAGCAGGUAUAUGUUGUUUGUCCCUCUGAGAAGAGGUUCCUUCUGCUCUUCAUAUUUUUCAGAAGAAGAAAGUGAUGAUCAUGUUUUCAUCAUGCAUGUCUGUCAAAUACCACCAUGAUCUGCUGAACAUGGACCUGCCUGCCAUGGCCAUCCAUGGAAUGCAACACCAAAUUAAGUGAAGAACCAUGUUCUUCCAAUUCUGAAAUGCAGGUUCAGGAAUACUGCUGUGCCCCGAUGGCACAGCCAGAGGGCUAGACAUCUCUGAACUGGACUGGAUUGCUUAAUACAACCCUCCUGAUGACUCCAAGGAAUAUAGUCAUUGUGUGUGGGCAGAACAGCCAGGGGCCUGCAUGGAAGAGGGCACAUUCAUCCUGUGUUCUGAAGAGUUAGGUUUCCGUCCUUACUUGAAGCGAUUAAAGGUUCCAUUGAAUCAGCUUGACUUUUCCUGAUUUAUAGGUUUCUGAUAUUCAGUCUCAGCUAGGAAAGCUAACCGAAAAGAAUUACUUUCUCCACAAGACUGCCUGGGAAGCAUGCAGGUCCUAGUUACCAACCAGCACAUGACUCCCAAUCCCUCAAACAGGUCUUUAAUGUGAACAACGGAAGUAAAUUUGCCUCGGGUCCCUCUGUCUUUUAGGUUUUAAGAUGCCUCCCUUCAUUGGUCUAGACACGAGCAGCCAUGAUGACAAGCUUAAAAAGAGAGUGAGGCCAUGUUGGAUUCUGUUACCAGAAAAAAAAGAAAGAGAAGUCCAAGUACUGAAAACACAUUGGCAAGAGGAUAGUAGACUGGAGGAAACUCUCAC
rnacentral:lncRNA from 1 species